rnacentral:rRNA from 1 species
CAUAAGAAAUAAUCGCUAGUGUUCGAAAGAACACUCACAAGAUUAAUAACGCGUUUNACGAUAUGCUUUGGGGAGCUGUAAGUAAGCUUUGAUCCAGAGAUUUCCGAAUGGGGAAACCCAGCAUGAGUUAUGUCAUGUUAUCGAUAUGUGAAUACAUAGCAUAUCAGAAGGCACACCCGGAGAACUGAAACAUCUUAGUACCCGGAGGAAGAGAAAGAAAAUUCGAUUCCCUUAGUAGCGGCGAGCGAAACGGGAAGAGCCCAAACCAACAAGCUUGCUUGUUGGGGUUGUAGGACACUCUAUACGGAGUUACAAAGGACGACAUUAGACGAAUCAUCUGGAAAGAUGAAUCAAAGAAGGUAAUAAUCCUGUAGUCGAAAAUGUUGUCUCUCUUGAGUGGAUCCUGAGUACGACGGAGCACGUGAAAUUCCGUCGGAAUCUGGGAGGACCAUCUCCUAAGGCUAAAUACUCUCUAGUGACCGAUAGUGAACCAGUACCGUGAGGGAAAGGUGAAAAGCACCCCGGAAGGGGAGUGAAAUAGAACCUGAAACCGUGUGCUUACAAGUAGUCAGAGCCCGUUAAUGGGUGAUGGCGUGCCUUUUGUAGAAUGAACCGGCGAGUUACGAUUUGAUGCAAGGUUAAGCAGUAAAUGUGGAGCCGUAGCGAAAGCGAGUCUGAAUAGGGCGUUUAGUAUUUGGUCGUAGACCCGAAACCAGGUGAUCUACCCUUGGUCAGGUUGAAGUUCAGGUAACACUGAAUGGAGGACCGAACCGACUUACGUUGAAAAGUGAGCGGAUGAACUGAGGGUAGCGGAGAAAUUCCAAUCGAACCUGGAGAUAGCUGGUUCUCUCCGAAAUAGCUUUAGGGCUAGCCUCAAGUGAUGAUUAUUGGAGGUAGAGCACUGUUUGGACGAGGGGCCCCUCUCGGGUUACCGAAUUCAGACAAACUCCGAAUGCCAAUUAAUUUAACUUGGGAGUCAGAACAUGGGUGAUAAGGUCCGUGUUCGAAAGGGAAACAGCCCAGACCACCAGCUAAGGUCCCAAAAUAUAUGUUAAGUGGAAAAGGAUGUGGCGUUGCCCAGACAACUAGGAUGUUGGCUUAGAAGCAGCCAUCAUUUAAAGAGUGCGUAAUAGCUCACUAGUCGAGUGACACUGCGCCGAAAAUGUACCGGGGCUAAACAUAUUACCGAAGCUGUGGAUUGUCCUUUGGACAAUGGUAGGAGAGCGUUCUAAGGGCGUUGAAGCAUGAUCGUAAGGACAUGUGGAGCGCUUAGAAGUGAGAAUGCCGGUGUGAGUAGCGAAAGACGGGUGAGAAUCCCGUCCACCGAUUGACUAAGGUUUCCAGAGGAAGGCUCGUCCGCUCUGGGUUAGUCGGGUCCUAAGCUGAGGCCGACAGGCGUAGGCGAUGGAUAACAGGUUGAUAUUCCUGUACCACCUAUAAUCGUUUUAAUCGAUGGGGGGACGCAGUAGGAUAGGCGAAGCGUGCGAUUGGAUUGCACGUCUAAGCAGUAAGGCUGAGUAUUAGGCAAAUCCGGUACUCGUUAAGGCUGAGCUGUGAUGGGGAGAAGACAUUGUGUCUUCGAGUCGUUGAUUUCACACUGCCGAGAAAAGCCUCUAGAUAGAAAAUAGGUGCCCGUACCGCAAACCGACACAGGUAGUCAAGAUGAGAAUUCUAAGGUGAGCGAGCGAACUCUCGUUAAGGAACUCGGCAAAAUGACCCCGUAACUUCGGGAGAAGGGGUGCUCUUUAGGGUUAACGCCCAGAAGAGCCGCAGUGAAUAGGCCCAAGCGACUGUUUAUCAAAAACACAGGUCUCUGCUAAACCGUAAGGUGAUGUAUAGGGGCUGACGCCUGCCCGGUGCUGGAAGGUUAAGAGGAGUGGUUAGCUUCUGCGAAGCUACGAAUCGAAGCCCCAGUAAACGGCGGCCGUAACUAUAACGGUCCUAAGGUAGCGAAAUUCCUUGUCGGGUAAGUUCCGACCCGCACGAAAGGCGUAACGAUUUGGGCACUGUCUCAACGAGAGACUCGGUGAAAUCAUAGUACCUGUGAAGAUGCAGGUUACCCGCGACAGGACGGAAAGACCCCGUGGAGCUUUACUGUAGCCUGAUAUUGAAAUUCGGCACAGCUUGUACAGGAUAGGUAGGAGCCUUUGAAACGUGAGCGCUAGCUUACGUGGAGGCGCUGGUGGGAUACUACCCUAGCUGUGUUGGCUUUCUAACCCGCACCACUUAUCGUGGUGGGAGACAGUGUCAGGCGGGCAGUUUGACUGGGGCGGUCGCCUCCUAAAAGGUAACGGAGGCGCUCAAAGGUUCCCUCAGAAUGGUUGGAAAUCAUUCAUAGAGUGUAAAGGCAUAAGGGAGCUUGACUGCGAGACCUACAAGUCGAGCAGGGUCGAAAGACGGACUUAGUGAUCCGGUGGUUCCGCAUGGAAGGGCCAUCGCUCAACGGAUAAAAGCUACCCCGGGGAUAACAGGCUUAUCUCCCCCAAGAGUUCACAUCGACGGGGAGGUUUGGCACCUCGAUGUCGGCUCAUCGCAUCCUGGGGCUGUAGUCGGUCCCAAGGGUUGGGCUGUUCGCCCAUUAAAGCGGUACGCGAGCUGGGUUCAGAACGUCGUGAGACAGUUCGGUCCCUAUCCGUCGUGGGCGUAGGAAAUUUGAGAGGAGCUGUCCUUAGUACGAGAGGACCGGGAUGGACAUACCUCUGGUGUACCAGUUGUCGUGCCAACGGCAUAGCUGGGUAGCUAUGUGUGGACGGGAUAAGUGCUGAAAGCAUCUAAGCAUGAAGCCCCCC